UACUGUCUAUCCAGAGUAGAGAGUAAAUCUUCAGAAAGACUGUGUCUCGAAUCUCCGACCAUGGAUGUAUUUGAGUCUUGUGGGGAAAAGUGUGCAAACCUGUGCAGAGUGUACAAACUAAUCAUGGUUAGUCGUGUCCCCAGUUAUGGACAUCUUGAGUAUCUGGUUCUUGGAUUAUCAUGUUGAUCUCAUCACUCUAAAUUAAU
rnacentral:lncRNA from 1 species